rnacentral:rRNA from 1 species
GAUGAACGCUGGCGGCGUGCCUAAUACAUGCAAGUCGAGCGAACAGACGAGGAGCUUGCUCCUCUGACGUUAGCGGCGGACGGGUGAGUAACACGUGGAUAACCUACCUAUAAGACUGGGAUAACUUCGGGAAACCGGAGCUAAUACCGGAUAAUAUAUUGAACCGCAUGGUUCAAUAGUGAAAGACGGUUUUGCUGUCACUUAUAGAUGGAUCCGCGCCGCAUUAGCUAGUUGGUAGGGUAACGGCUUACCAAGGCAACGAUGCGUAGCCGACCGGAGAGGGUGAUCGGCCACACUGGAACUGAGACACGGUCCAGACUCCUACGGGAGGCAGCAGUAGGGAAUCUUCCGCAGUGGGCGAAAGCUUGACGGAGCAACGCCGCGUGAGUGAUGAAGGUCUUCGGAUCGUAAAACUCUGUUAUUAGGGAAGAACAAAUGUGUAAGUAACUAUGCACGUCUUGACGGUACCUAAUCAGAAAGCCACGGCUAACUACGUG